UGCGCGAAAAGGAGGUAUUCGUCACUGAGGGUCUCACGCUUAUUUAUUCAGUCUACCGUCUCACGUCGAUGGUUGAAUUUGAUGUAAUAUUAGCAUAUUUCAUGACAGUGGAACCCAACACGUAGCUGAGCCUGACAACGACGUGAACCGGCCUGAAAUGUCCUCACUUGAAUGUGCAUUCGUCUCAUUGACUGCAGUACCUCAUGGAGCCAGCCGGGGUCGUCCUUGCUUCACCACAGUCGGGCUGCAGAAAGGCAGCAUGUACGCACCUUUCUGAGAGGCGCAGAAACCGGGCCAGAUGCACGCGCCUGUCCUUGUUGAUGUAGAUGCUGAACAGAAAGGCCCUCUCCAGCUCUCUGAUUUGCUGCUUGGAGUAAGGACACCGCUUCUUCCUCUUCACACGGGGCUCUGCUGGGGCCUGUGGUUCCUGUCAUUUUGCUGAAGUGGCCCAGAGGUAAUGCACGUGGAGUUUUCCUGUCUUGAGGCUCAGCCAGGCUAUAGGACUCACAACUUAGUAGGACCUUUCUGUGAAAAAUGUCUGGAGUAUUUUACUAAACCUGACUCAACGAACAAACCAGAUGCAGACCUAAAAUGUGCAUUAUAGCCAUAUUUCGUUCAUCACAUGUCACAGCCAGAUGGAAGUCUUUAUGGAUGAGCUUGCUACACCAAGAACCCUGUAGGUCCACAGCAAUCUAUAAACCUCAGGGCUGUGUGGGGAUUUUCCAUUUCACUGCACAAUA